GUAGGUCUGGCUUUCACUCAGAUCUGUAGUGUAUUUAAUUUGGUAUAUCCAAUGCAUGAUAGUCAUAAAAGUAGUAAAAAUAAAUGUGCCUUUAAAUUUUAAUAUUCGGUUUGAAUUAUUUACUGAGGUUGUGUACACCUGAGCCCUUCCAAGUCCUUUAAUGGUGUGAGCCUCAUGACUAGGCUGUCUCGUUUCUUAUUGCUAUCUUUGUUUUCAAAUAGAAGCUACAGCCUACCCUAAUAUUCAAAAUGUUAUUGGUGUUUAAAGUUUACACUUUCUUAUUUCAUUUUAGGAUGUUGUGCACAGAAUACACAUCCAUCUUAUAAAUGUUUACAUCUUUUAUUGUGCUUUGUUAGCUAUUUGUAGGUUCCAUAUCCUUGGGGUGAACUUCUUGUCAAUUAAAGUUGAACAAUACUGGUUAAUUGAUUUCUUAGGCAGAUAGGGCCUGGAGGUAUCCAAUUGUCAUUGUUGCAGAAGUGUAUAAUCUUAUCUGUCUAGCUCAGAUUGUAUUCACUGUGUUUUCUAUUGGAGGAUUUAACGGAGAGGGGAAUGGUACCUCAAGUUCCAGCCUUCUUCAAGCCCCUUAUUUUGCUAUCCAGAACCUUAUAGUAAUUGUUGUUUUCCUCUUUUUUUUUUUGCCUCUCUGUAGAAUGGACUUUUGUACGAACAGGUUGCUAUUGCAGCUAUGGACUGCCAAUGCCUUGAUGUUGUGAAGGACUGCACAAAGGUCUUACAAAAGAGAUUUCCUGGUAGUAAAUGGGUUGGUGCAUAAACUUGCUACCAUAAUGGUUAUUACGUUGCCAUUGUAAGCUUACUCAUGUUGGUCGCUGUUGAGUGGCCAUGACUUCAAUCUUUAACCUCUUUACAUCAAGAUUUUUCUCUCACUGAAAUUUCGGAGAUAAAUAAUUUGCUAUGACGGGCAUCAUUGCCUUCCUCCUUAAGUUACGCUGGCAUUACUAUUGUUCCAGUAUCUUGGUUGCCAAACUGCCCAAAUUUGUGAUUUCAUGUAAAUGCUCGGAAGGACCUCUUCUUCCAGGAGGUGGUCAGCAUUGUACAUGCGCAAAUGCAAUGGGCUAGUUUCUAUUUUACUUAUAUCACAUCUACAGAAGUGGUCAGCAUUGUACCUGUGCAGAUGCAAUGGGCUAGUUUCUAUAAACCUGCUCUUCGGCUUCUUAAUAUGAUAAGUUUUACACUUCCUAUAAUUUCUCUUCAUUCUUCCUUGUUAAAGAUUCCCAAAGGAAAUGAUGACUUGUGCAAUUAUUUACUCUAUUUUGUUUUUGUAAAGUAGAUUUCAUAUUUCACCGGCACAACCAAAAUUGCAAAAUUUUUAUUGGUUUUGUUAUGCUUUCUAUCAACAGUCUGUAUUGGGGGCUUUGCGAAUGGCGUAGGGCCAAUUCCUCCUGAGAUUGGCAGCUUGAAGAUGCUCACAAGGUCUCUGUUGUUACCCCUUUCUACAUCCAUGAAAGAAACAAAUUUUUAGUUCAGAAAUACUAAAAAAUUUCUUUUGGUCAUCCAUCCAUGAAAACCAGUUAAUCGGUGAAAGAUGCCGGCCAUAGUCCAAGCUGUAGGGAUUUUUUCAGGUUUUUAACUCCAAAUACAAUACUAAUUCAGUUCCAAUCAGUCUUGGAAUCCAAUUUAUCCAAGUAAUCAAUCUAUCUUCUCUUUGUGCAUCAUGUGCGAAAGUGUGAAGUUUUUACAGAUAGCUUUUUGAUUCCAUGUUUAUGGUAUGGAAUGCUUUUUAUUUGUCUUAGAUUUAUCUAUCUACUCUUUAUUGCUCUAAUUUUUCUUUCAACUAAAAUGUGAAAUUGGAGCAGAAACAGAGAAGUUGUUUCCGGAUCGAAAUUGGAGGUGAAUGAAGAGAGAAGAGGUAUAAAGACUAAUCGUUUGGAGUCAAUAUCCUCUUCUUGCAGUUUCAAGAAGAGGCUUGGGUCUCUUUUUGACAAUUUUCACAACCGGUGGGGUGCUUGUAACAUUCACCAUGGAGCUUCACUCCCCACUCCAAGGCCUUUAGUGGAGCUGCUACUAGCAUAGUGAUAGAAAGGUACACACCUUUUUCUCCUUUUUCGAUCAGCAUUAAGACAGUGGAAGAACAGCUCCACAUCAAGAAUCGACUAGAAACAGAUAUUAACCGAGUAAAUGGGAUUUAAAAGAGCCACAAUGGACCUUUUCUCUUCUUUCUUUUUCAAAACUUUUUUUCCUCGCCUUUUUUAGUUCUUCUAAAGCGAUUGAUUGUUUAUUAAAAGAACUCAAUGUGUACAGAAUUAGGCUUUGAAAUUACACUAACGAAUAAUCUUUCAUUUGAUCUGAUAGUUGGCAGAAACAAUGUCAACAGAUUGUUGAGAAAAACCAGAAUUCAGACUCUUGAGACAUAGAACACAUUGUUGUGAUAGUGAGUUAGCUACCUC